CAGCAGCCGCGGGAAAACGUAGGUGGCAAGCGUUGUCCGGAAUUGUCGGGCGUAAAGGGCUCGCAGGCGGUUUCUUAAGUCUGAUGUGAAAGCCCCCGGCUCAACCGGGGAGGGUCAUUGGAAACUGGGAUACUUGAGUGCAGAAGAGGAGAGUGGAAUUCCACGUGUAGCGGUGAAAUGCGUAGAGAUGUGGAGGAACACCAGUGGCGAAGGCGACUCUCUGGUCUGUAACUGACGCUGAGGAGCGAAAGCGUGGGGAGCGAACAGGAUUAGAUACCCGAGUAGUCCCUGUCUCUUAUAA
rnacentral:rRNA from 1 species